AACGAACGCUGGCGGCAUGCCUAACACAUGCAAGUCGAACGAGACCUUCGGGUCUAGUGGCGCACGGGUGCGUAACGCGUGGGAACCUGCCCUUAGGUUCGGAAUAACUCCCCGAAAGGGGUGCUAAUACCGGAUAAUGUCUUCGGACCAAAGAUUUAUCGCCUUUGGAUGGGCCCGCGUUGGAUUAGCUAGUUGGAGGGUAAAAGCCUACCAAGGCGACGAUCCAUAGCUGGUCUGAGAGGAUGAUCAGCCACACUGGGAUUGAGACACGGCCCAGACUCCUACGGGAGGCAGCAGUGGGGAAUAUUGGACAAUGGGCGAAAGCCUGAUCCAGCAAUGCCGCGUGAGUGAUGAAGGCCUUAGGGUUGUAAAGCUCUUUUACCCGGGAUGAUAAUGACAGUACCGGGAGAAUAAGCUCCGGCUAACUCCGUG
rnacentral:rRNA from 1 species